rnacentral:lncRNA from 1 species
AUCAUUUAUGAAUAUAUAUUCAGAUUAUAUAUUAUUAGAUGAUCCAUAACCUUAAUAAAUAUAAGUAGAAUUCCUUUUUAAUCCAAUGCAACUUCAUAAAAUCAGAUUAAGCCUACAGGAGGUAUAAGUAGAUCACAAGUACUAAAGUAAAAAAAUGAAAUUAAUACUAUACCACAACUCCACAAGGAUGUUGACAUGACAUGACUAGAUUUUUGUAUACCAGAAUUAAAUGUAGCAUGACCUUGACUUGGAAAACAAACAACCACACAUUACAAACAAGAAGUUUUGCAUUGUACCACACACAAAAUUAUCCUAAACAAACUAUCAACAAGAAAAUAAAACAAAUAUUAAUCAAACACUUAUCUUCUGCUCCUGAGGGUAUAAGGAAUAUUGUUUGAUUCUUCCAUGGAAUCUCCGUGACCUGUUUCUGGUUCAUGACAACGCCUAGCAUGCUUCUUUACACAUGGUAUCAUGAAGAUGAGCACCAUGAAAAGAGAGAAAACUAUGACAAAAACCAUAAGCAUUAUCUUUCCAUUUAAGGCAUAGUUCUUGUCAUCAGAGAAUUGAACAUUGUCAUCUUCUAGUUGUUGAGGACUGUAAGAACUCAUCAUAGAUACAAAUUAAGGGAAGUGUUAAUGGAAAAUGUUGAGUUCUCUUACAAAUGCACCAAACUUGCGCAAUAUUAUUUGGCUUAGUUUGCAACAAUAUUCUACUUGAUGAUGAUUGAGAAUUAUUUUUCUGUGUGAGUACAAUGAGAUGCAACUAGGCUCUGAACCAAGUGGUCCAUGGUUGCUUUGUUUUUUGAAUUGUAUUUAUUUAGUAACAUGUGAUAUGAAUGUUGCAAAUGAAUGCUACGUUCUUGUUGUAGUAAUUAGUAUUUUUAAGACUUUUUAAUAUAAAAAAUAUUUAUUUUUUCAGAUUUAUAGAAAAAUCAAUGUAUUUAGACUAUAUGAUCUAGAUAUAUUAAUUUUUU